UGAGGAAUAUUGGACAAUGGGCGCAAGCCUGAUCCAGCCAUGCCGCGUGCAGGAAGAAGCAUCUAUGUUGUGUAAACUGCUCUUGUACGGGAAGAAACACUCCUACGUGUAGGUGCUUGACGGUACCGUAAGAAUAAGGAUCGGCUAACUCCGUGCCAGCAGCCGCGGUAAUACGGAGGAUCCAAGCGUUAUCCGGAAUCAUUGGGUUUAAAGGGUCCGUAGGCGGUUUAAUAAGUCAGUGGUGAAAGCCCAUCGCUCAACGAUGGAACGGCCAUUGAUACUGUUAGACUUGAAUUACAAGGAAGUAACUAGAAUAUGUAGUGUAGCGGUGAAAUGCUUAGAUAUAAGAGGGAAUACCAAGUGCAAAGGAAGGUUCCUACUUGUGGAUAAACGCUCAUACACGAAAACGUGGGGAGCAAACA
rnacentral:rRNA from 1 species